UUUUUUUUUUUUUUUUUUUAAAUUUGGGAAUACCAAGGAGGCUGGGAUGCCAAGAGUACAUAUAUUUUUUCUUUAAAAACUGGAGUACCGGUGAGUGGUAUGCCGAGAAUAGCAGGCUGCUAUGCUGAGAAAACUCGUCAAUGCUGACAGCUAGCCAGUGCUGCAGGGUGGUUAAUAUGCUGAGAGCAUGUUCCUCCUCCCUUUUCCUUGAAAUUUAACAAUUUUUCCCUCACCAUUUAUAAUCGUCUCAGGCUUGCAGAUCUUUGAGUUGUGCAAAUUCUUUGAUGAUUAAGUAAAUGUCGAAGGAGGGUUAACUGCCGAGAGAGUGAUCGGCCAUUGUAAUAGGCUUAGCUCUCAAACUUGAUAGCAAUAUUAACUUUUUUUAUUUUUUAUAUUUUAUUUUAUUUUUAAUUGUUGAAUCGCUGAAGGCUUAGAUAGCCCAGCACACCCAAGACGCUGACCAUACCCGAGAGCAUGAGUGAGCUAGAUCUGCCAAAAGCUAGGAUGUAAGGUCGAGAUCCUGGGGGUACGAAGAGUGCCGAGAGACCUGCUACGCAGCUAGGCCAGUUGAGAGCUAGGUGAUGAGACAUGGUACCCGAGAUCUAGGCGUGAGCUUGAGAUAGAGCGCAUAGCACGAGGCAGCGGUGCAGCGGGGCAACUCGUGGGCCCAGGGCUCAGUUAUGCGGUUCGCUUGGCUAGCCUGCCCCUCAGUCUUGCUGGGAAUUGGUCCCCGGGGUGCGCUUGACUUGCAUUGAAGAGAUCCUCCGGCCUUGAUGUUUAGACAUUUAACUUUCUUUGUGAUAUAUUUGGAUAUGUUGACUUGUACUUGGCAUCAUCCCUUCUAUGUAUGAGACUUUUAUUUUGACUUUGUAAUAUAUUCAUGCCCUUUCGCUUGACA